GACGAACGCUGGCGGCGUGCUUAACACAUGCAAGUCGAACGGAAAGGUCCUGCUCUUGUGGGGUGCUCGAGUGGCGAACGGGUGAGUAACACGUGAGUAACCUGCCCUUGACUUUGGGAUAACUUCAGGAAACUGGGGCUAAUACCGGAUAUGAGCUCCUGCUGCAUGGUGGGGGUUGGAAAGUUUCGGCGGUUGGGGAUGGACUCGCGGCUUAUCAGCUUGUUGGUGGGGUAGUGGCUUACCAAGGCUUUGACGGGUAGCCGGCCUGAGAGGGUGACCGGCCACAUUGGGACUGAGAUACGGCCCAGACUCCUACGGGAGGCAGCAGUGGAGAAUAUUGCACAAUGGGCGGAAGCCUGAUACAGCAACGCCGCGUGCGGGAUGACGGCCUUCGGGUUGUAAACCGCUUUCGCCUGUGACGAAGCGUGAGUGACGGUAAUUGGUAAAGAAGCACCGGCUAACUACGUG
rnacentral:rRNA from 1 species